rnacentral:ncRNA from 1 species
AUUAAAACGUUGAGCGGAAGAGUAGCAACUGAUCCUCCUUAACAGAAAGUGAUUCACAGCUGAGAGAAUCACAAGGAGCAGGUUUGCGAAACACACCCGUGAGUGCCUGAUUGAAUCAUCAGUAGGUUAGGUCGGUUUGUCCCCGUUACGGACCAGACGUCAACAGACGUCUUAAGCUUUUACCAGUGAUGGUAAAAGAAUCAUGAGGUGGGACCGCGUGCAACGCCCUCUAA